UGGGGAAUAUUGCACAAUGGGGGAAACCCUGAUGCAGCGACGCCGCGUGAGCGAUGAAGGCUUUCGAGUCGUAAAGCUCUGUCCUAUGGGAAGAUAAUGACGGUACCAUAGAAGAAAGCCCCGGCUAAUUACGUGCCAGCAGCCGCGGUAAUACGUAAGGGGCGAGCGUUGUCCGGAAUUAUUGGGCGUAAAGAGUGCGUAGGCGGCAAAUUAAGUCAGAUGUGAAAACUAAGGGCUCAACCCAUAGAUUGCAUCUGAAACUGAUAUGCUUGAGUCAAGGAGAGGAAAGUGGAAAUCCUAGUGUAGCGGUGGAAUGCGUAGAUAUUAGGAGGAAUACCGGUGGCGAAGGCGACUUUCUGGACUUGAACUGACGCUGAGGCACGAAAGCGUGGGGAGCAAACAGG
rnacentral:rRNA from 1 species